UACGUAGGGGGCGAGCGUUGUCCGGAGUUACUGGGCGUAAAGCGCUUGUAGGCGGUCCACCAAGUUUGGGGUGACAGUUGCCGACUUAAUCGGCAAUGUGCCUCAAAGACUGGCGGACUUGAGGGCCACAGAGGGACAUGGAACUCCAGGUGUAGCGGUGAAAUGCGCAGAUAUCAGGAGGAACACCGGUGGCGAAGGCGGGUCUCUGGGCAGUAACUGACGCUGAGGAACGAAAGCGUGGGGAGCGAACAGG
rnacentral:rRNA from 1 species